GGAGACUUCCUUCUCCCUGUGGCAUUUUCCCCGCUCCUCUGGCCGCCGAAGGAGUCCUGUGGUGCCGGGCAGGAAUGGGCUGCUUGGGGACCCAACGAGCUCCCAGAGCCUUUCCUGCUGCUUCCUCUACCCCUGUGUUUCGCUAGGCUCUCGAGAUGGACUCAGUUCCAGAUUGCCCAGCCUCACAUAUUCCUUCAUAGCAACACAAAGGGACUGAGACAAUAUAUAAGUUAACAUCUGCCAUGUAGUGGAGGUUCCAGAGAAAAAGUGAGAGAAGCUGAGUCUGCACCCUCAACAUGGAGGAAAUAAGCUCUCUUAGGACCAAGAACAGAGGACAGAGGAAGGACUCCAGCAUGAUGGGCACCAAGGGAUUUUGGUCCUUCUGAGAAAGAGGAGAGACAGGGUCUUCCUCUUUGCCUAAGCUGGAGCGCAUUGGUGUGAUCAUCGCUCACUGCUGCCUCAAACUCCUGGGCUCAUGCGACCCUCCCACCUCAGCCUCCUGACUAGUUGGGACUACAGAAUUGGUUCCUUCCAGUGAGUUCUUGGUCUCGCUGACUUCAAGAAUGAAGCCACAGACCUGUGCGAUGAGUGUUACAGCUCUUAAAGAUGGUGUGUCCAGAGUUUGUUCCUUCAGAUGUUCAGAUGUGUCCGGAGUUUCUUCCUUCUGGUGGGUUUGUCCUCUCGCUAACUUCCAAGAAUGAAGCCGUGGACGUUCACAGUCAAGAUCUAAGCAAACACACAAAUGUGAACAACAGGGAAAGAACCCAUUGACCUACCAAGACAGGCUGCCAACAGAAUUUUGAAGGCUUGCCAAGAUGCUUUUAUGGAGGUAGAGUGAAUGAGAUUCCGUAAGUGCAAAAUAAUCCUUUUAAGACUACCCAGAAAGUAAUAUAAGUGAACUAGUUAUAUAAGAUUCAGUGAGGACUACCAAAACAUUGGGAAGAAAUGUGGAUUUUAUCAUUCAAGGAAAUAUAAUUUUAUUGUAAGAUAUAAUCUUUGUUUUUGUAGUCAAAUAGAAACAUUCAUGCCUUAAUACAACGUUUGGUAAAAAGAACUGAAGAAGACACCAUAGAAGAUUUUAACAAACAAUGAACUCAUUAGCUAAAAGAUUUGUCAUGAAAUAAUGAUUGAUUUAGUUGUUUUCUAAAAUAUUUCUAGUGCCUAUUAGAUGUUGAAGGAGACUUUGAUCAUGAAGUGUGUUCUCUGAGGAGCUGCUAUUUUUAUUUUUAUAUUUGUUUGAAGUGAAUUGUCCUGCUAAUUCUUUAACAUAAAAUAUCUUCAAUUACAUGAUUCAACAUUUUAAAAAGUGAUUAAGACAGAAGAAUAUGUGCUGGGAUUUAUUUUUGGAUCUUUGAAGUAGCAAAGAGUAGCAGAACUCCUUAAUCCAUAGAGUGGUUAUUUUGCUGUAUGAUGACUCUUGUAUUUACUCCCUGAAUUACCCUUUCCACUAAAAAGUAUUAAUGAGACAUUAGUAGGCUAUAGAAAAAAAUACUUCUGAUCUACUUAGAAAUAUUCAUGAGGUUUUCUCCUGGUGGAUUCACAUCAAAUUUUAUUUUUUAAAACCCCAAGUAUUUUUAUUUGAUGAUUAAUAAGUAAGAUGGAGGCUGGUAGGUGGAAAUCGCCAGCAGGAAAAUAAAAUGCUUUGGCUAAGCCGACAACUGCUACUGUCCUCCUCUGUACAGACUCUCCUGCUGAAGACUCACGGAGGCUUAUUUCAAGUCUUCUUUAGUUCAUUACCUGCAUGUUCAAAUGGAGCUGGUACUGUGACUCACAGCUUUCUGUCCAAGAAUGCGAUUUGUACCUCUACAAAUCUUCUACACCUUCUUCAUCUAGUAAACACUUACUCUACAGGUCUCAUCUCAAAUCUAUUACUAUAUGCAACUAUAGUACAUAAGCAAGCCAUUUAAAAAUGUUAAAGGAAGAUAUGCAUUGAUAUGGGUUGGCUGUUUUCCCACCCAAAUCUCAUCUUGAAUCGUAGCUCCCAUAAUCCACACGUGUCAUGGGAGGGACCCAAUGGAAGGUAAUUAAAUAAUCGGGGUGGGUUUUUCCCAUGCUGCUCUCAUGAUAGUAAAUAAGUCUCAUGAAAUCUGAUGGUUUCAUAAUAUAAAGGGCAGUUCCCCUGCACAUGCUCUCUUGCCUGCCACCAUGUAAGAUGGGCCUUUGCUCCUCCUUUGCCUUCUGCCAUGAUUGUGAGGCCUCUCCAGCCAUGUGGAACUGUAAGUCCAUUAAAUCUCUUUUUCUUUAUAAAUUACCCAGUCUUGGAUAUCUCUUCAUAGGAGUGUGAAAAUGGACUAAUAGAUACAUAUAGGUACACAUACAUGUAUACAUAAAGCCAUUCCAAAAGACUUUGCUUCCUGAAGUUUGUAAAUGUAAACAAAUUUAUUGUACCAUCAUUUAGGUUACUACGUUGCUCACUAACAUAGAAACAAUAUCUAAAAUGGGUACUUAUAGGGUUAUUAAAAUAUAGUAUGAAUAUGGCUACUGGAAAAAAGUCAAAGAUAUAUUUUGAGGCCACUACUCUACGUCUCUUGAUGUUCUCUUGUACACAUUUGAUAUUGCACAAAAGCCAAAAGUUUGGACUCCUUUGAUUAAAGGCAAGGUCAAGUAAUCCUGCUGGUUCUACCUCUCCUCCCAUUUCUUAAAUGAAAGGAUGUAGUCAUAUAAGGUGCUGUUUAGUAAAAUGGUGCCGUGAAUUCAGCAUGAAAUGUCUGGGCAAGUGUUUUUCAAGUUGUCACAUAUAUACUAUAUUUAUCUUCCUCCUUUUCCCUCCUCAACCUCAGUCCCCAUCACCCAGUGUUUCAUAAGGUUUUACUUUCUGUAGCUUAUACUGUAAAACCAGGAGUUCCCUUCCUCCUCUCCCAAAUAUAACCUUUUCUAAUAAUAUUAAUUGCACUUUCCCUAACUAUACAUACCUCCCUGGAGAUUUUGAACUGUAAUUCUUUCUCUCCUCCAUUUUCCUUGAGCAUUUUUCAUCUAGUGGAAUAUUCGGUGGCAAAGCUCUCAUUCUGGAAGAAGUUUAGCCAUGUAAGCAUAGAAGAAAUAAGCCAACAAUGGUAAACAUAGUUAAUGCAUGUAGUUAAGUCUUCUAAACAUGUCACUUGAAUGAUGUCACAUUUUGCUUUUUCAAACUAGGAAUCAACAAAAUGGAGGAACAUUUGAGGUUUGUUAAGAAAUUUCCCUUCUUAGCCAUAGAACUAAGAUAUUUUUAAAUAAAGAAGAUCAUAGUGGGCCAUAAAUGAUGUGCCUUUCUAGGAUCCCAAAAUGUUUUAUUGAUUGAAUUAUAUAGAGAGAUUUAAUGGAACCGUGGUUGAAAAAUGCUUUUAAAGUCUUUGAUCACUGGGAUAUCAAUGGAACAAAUGGGUUAAAACAUUUUCAGAAUUUAAUCAUUUAUCUAGGUAACAGGGUUGGGGGUAAAUGGCGGGAGAGAAGGGGAGGGCCGGGGCAUUAAUGAAUAGUACUCCAUGUAAAAAGAAGAAUUGACUAGUAACAUCUGUACUAUUUAAAUUAACAGGCUGGCAUAUAUUGUUGUGCAGGUUUUGCAUUGCCCAAUUCUUGGGGGGGGCGGCAUUCACAUUUGUAGUCAUUAUGGGUUCCUCUAUUUAUAAUGCCAAUUUUCUAGCAGAUGUUGGUUUAUUGCCUUGAGAAACUGUUAGAUUCCUCUAAUUUUUGCAAAGAUGGCUUUGGGAAGUUGAAAGAUUACCUGAUUACUAUUAGAGAAUCCUGCUACCAAUACAUACUUGUCUUGUAUAAUUUGGGCAAAAUAUAAUAUUCCUGAAUCUUAGAUUCCUUGUUUGUAAAAUGUUUAAAAUAUAUCUAAAUGUAAGAAUUGUUGUAGCAUAUAUAUGUGAGUACAUGAAUGUGGCCGUCACAGCAGCUGUAAGUGGAAGAUAUUAUAAAUAUUGUUAAAACCUUCUGAUGUUUUAUUUUAAGCUGAUAGUUUUUCUUUAUGCUGACUUUACAGUGAGUUUUAAACAUACACUUGAGUUUAUCAUUUGUAUAUAACUACUGAUAGAAAUCUGAUGAAAAACACUAAUAGUAGUUUAUAAAAGAUUUUUUUCAAUAUGAACUUUUUGUUUCCAUUGUGAGAAAUUAAAUUUCAAAAUGUAAUUAUUAAAUGUAUGCCUGACUUUCAAAUGUUUUUCUAUAUCCAGCUAAUUAAAAAUAUUUAUAACGUAGUAGUAGUUAAAUGUCAUGUUCGCCUUAUUAGAAAGAAUGCCUUCAAAUCAGUAUUAUCAUGAUUACCAUUUAUUUAACAUCUUCAGUAUGCAGGGCAUUUAUAAAAUCUGUAGAAAUUAAUUUUCUCUAAAUGCAACAAGCUUUAUGACCAGCACUCACUGUCUAUAAAAGAUGACUUGCUUGGCAGAAGAGGAAACAGUUUCUUCAGACCUUCCAGCCACAGUCAGCCCUGGUGACAUUGCAUAUCAGCUUCUAAAGGGCCUCGCACAUUCCUUGGCUUGUGAUGUCCCUUCCCCAUCAUCAAAGACAGCAACGAAACUUCAGGCUACCAUACCUGCUUCAACUGUAGGAGAAUCUUAGUUCUGGAGAGUUGACCCUCCAGGCGAAGCAUUAGGCUUUGAUACAAUUUGUCUGGUACCGGCUGUAGAUCUGGUUUGGGCCCCAGACUAUCUUCCCUGUCCUCAAGAAUCAAAACCAACUUGGAAUGACUCCUGGCCCACUCAGCACCUUUCCGGAAGCCAGAAGAAUGAAGUGCCACACAUAUCAUCAGAGAGAAUUCCAAGGAAGAGGGAAUGGUCUAUAGUGUCUCAAGCCACAUUAAUCCUUCAAGAACAGUGUUAACUUUCUCAGGCUACUGGAACUCCACUUUUUGGAACUGUUAUAUUUACUGUUGGGGAGUGACUUUGGCACCAAGGAGAACUUGGCUCAAAUGAAUGGUUUUGGAUCACACAUCUUCAUGAUUUGGGAAUGAUAUGUGUGUUUAUUUUAUGAAAAAUGUUAGUAAUGAAGCAUUUAAAAUAUAUCAAAAGGAAAAUCUCCAAGAGUUGGUGAAUCAUGCUGUUGCCAAUAAUAGGCAUGUGACAUAACUGAACAUUUCAUCAUCUUCAGUAAAUAAUCAAGAUGGAUAAGAUGUGGUUCCUUAACCAAAAACAUCAGUAUAUUCUGGGAUAUUGUUAGAAAUGCAAAUUCUUAAGCCAUGUGCCAGACCUACUGAAUAAGAAGCUCUAAAGAUGGGGUACAACACCUUGUAUUUUAAGAAGGCCUCAGGUGAUCCUAAUGGGUGCCAACGUUUAAGAACUGCUGCUCUGUUAAGCUUCUGCAGUAGCCUGCAAUGUUGACUUUCGCUCUUGUUGCCCAGGCUGGAGUGCAAUGGCAUGAUUUCGGCUCACUGCAACCUCCGCCUCCCAGUUAUUUUAUCAGUGGAAAUGCUUCAGAUCUUUCUAAAAUGGUGGUGCAGGUCUGCUGGAGUUUGCUGGAGGUCCACUCCAGACCCUGUUUGCCUGGGUAACACCAUCAGAAGCUGCAAAACAGCAAAGAUUGCUGCCUGUUCCUUCCUCUGGAAGAUUUGUCCCAGAGGGGCACCCGCCAGAUGCCAGCCAGACCUCUCCUGUAUGAGGUGUCUGUCAGCCCCUACUGGGAGAUGACUCCCAGUCAGGAUGCACGGGGGUCAGGUACCCACUGACGAGGCACUCUGUCUCUUAUCAGAGCUUGAACGCUGGGCCAGGAGAUCUGCUGCUCUCUUCAGAGUUGUCAGGAAGGGAUGUUUAAGUCUGCUGAAGCUGCACCCACCCACAGCUGCCCCUUCCCCCAGGUGCUCUGUCCCAGGGAGAUGGGGUUUUAUCUGUAAGUCCCUGACUGGGGCUGCUGCCUUUUUUUCAGAGAUGUCCUGCUCAGAGAUGAGGAAUCAUAAGCAAUUAGAUCUUUAAAAUGACUUUACAUUAGCCUACUUUCUUCCCAUAUGUACCAUAUAUAUGGUAUAAUCUGUAUGGGAAAGGAGGCAUUUCAAGGUUUAAAAGAAUAUAAAUUUUGGAUUUAAUGUUUUUGAUCUUAACAUAUUUGUGUCUCAACAGGGAAGACAAUUAGAAAUGUAACAAGAGGGUUCUAUUUGAUUCAUUUAAAAAAUGGAAAGUGGCACCCAGGGUGAGGCUGGCAUGUCAAACAAUUACUGAGAGCAAUGCCACCAUUUGCCUUUGUGUGUGUGUGUGUGUGUGUGUGUGAAUUAGGAUCUGUUUUUUAAUGGUCACUCUAUUUACAUAGUAACAUUCCUUGAAGCAAUAUAUGCAGAUUCAUUCUCGACAUAAGUUUUUUUGCUUUUGCUAAAAUAGUUUUUGCUUAAAAUUACUCCCUCUCUUUUCUGGCUACAACUACUUCCCAUCUUCUCCUUGAUUUUUUCAAUGACUUAGGAAAAGAUUAACAUGAUUUAAGUCCCGUUUCUCAUGACUGUAAUUACAAGACUAGUUUAGUUCCACUUUCUUGUAGACGAAUUCCUACAUUUUGCUGAUGUUUUGGCCCAUUCUUAUAAACUCCACUGUCUGGGGAGCAGGAAGCAUUCUGACAAAUUGUCUCUUUGGGAACAGAAGUAUAUUUUAUUGAGUCAAUUAUCUUGAUAAAUCACGUUAUAUUUGAGUUUUUGUAGUUUUGUGGAUAAACAUUUUUACUUGGAAUCCCUUUGUUGUUCACUGUGUUAGCACCCAUGAUUCAAACAAUCCUUGAUCUUGUCAUUAGUAGUAUAUGUAGAGAAGAAUUCACUGUAGGAAUUUAAGAAGUGACUUUUCAACACAGCUUCUCUAAUACAGUAUUUAAUAUCCCACACAUAAUUCAAAAUAAAAGUAAGAAAUAAAAGUCUAUUGGAAAGACUUAGCACAAAAUUCAGUGUAAGAUUCCAUGUAAGAAAUAUUGAUUAGAACAUAUUCUACGAGAGUCUAGAGAUGAGGUUUAUGUCUCAAAUGUUUGUUUUAAGCUUAUUAGAAAUACCAUCUAUUAGUAAAAAUUACUUCUUUGGAAUGAGAUGAGAAAAUUCUGAAUAUGGACUCAGAUGCCAAAAUAUGUUAAUAGCAUAAAAUACAGACAUGAACUGAGAAGGCGGUUUCACCAAAGACACAAGAGAAAUUAAAUCACAUACAUUUUACAAUGUAAACUAAAAUAGACUAUACAAAAAUACCUUGCUAACAGAGAAAUGGGUCAUCAGUCUGUUGUUGUUACUUUUUUUGUUGCUGUUUCUUAAUGGUUACUUAAUACCUACCUGUAGUGCAAUUAUAUGUUGUAGAAUUCUGUCACAAAAAAAAGGCCUAAACCAACGGGAUGACUUAAAAGAAAAAUAAACAUUUCAAAGAUUCAAGUAAUUUAUCAGGAAAUACUGAAAGUACAUCCUAUAAUUUUUUUUAAAACUUGAAAAUUGCACCUCACAUUUUGUCUGGAGAGUUAGGCAACAUCUGUAUUUUUCAACUUUGUCAGUUAUUCAGGACCUAUUACAGACCACACAACUUUGAGCUUUGAAAGAAAUCCACAGAUAUAUAAUUUAACUCAUUGUGUAGCUAAGGAAAUAGGACUGAAGAAAUUAAUGAUUUACUGGACAUCAAGUUACAUGUAAGCCGAUUUUUAACCUAGAUUUCCAAAUGUCCACUCCAAUGCUUUCACCACUAUUGCCUGGUAGGUAUCACAUAUUAUUAAGUUUGUUUUGUGUUUUAUGGAUUAUAUUUAGCAUAAUUCUGAGACUUAGAAGAGGUUCAAUAAAUGCUUAUUACAUGUAUAAAUGAAAAAUGGCCUGGAGGUAGCAUAAGUCAAUAUUCCAUUUUUCAUCAUAGCUUUCAUCAAACAAAUCUUAUAUUUAUUCCUGGAAUCUAUUGCACACCACAAAUCAAAUGUGCAUAGCAAAUAGAUUUUUUUUAAACCUAGCCCGGCCAAAUUGAUCUUGAACUUCUCCGUGCUUGUUCAACAAUUCUGGUGCAGAGUUUAAAAAACUUGUAGGUUUUAUUUUGAGGUUACAAGUUUCAGUCUGGGACUGAAAAGAUAUAAUAGUAAUCUGCAAAGUUCAAGGAUGUGUAAUUCUGGGAGCUCAGAAAGAAUUCAUAGCUCUUGUUCUCAGGAGCUCUGCAAACAAAGAUGCCAAAGGCAUAUCAGAUUGCCUUCUAAUACAGGGAGUAACAAGUAACAAUGACACAUUGAUUGCUUACUUAUGAAAAUUAUUUCCAUAAUGAUAUAAUAUUAGAAGACAAAUUCAGCUGCCUGACCUGCACAGGAGAUUGAAUUGAACGUAGGGUGUUAAAUCAGAGUGGAGUAGGGUUUGAAAAAACAGAAUAAAAGCAAUACCUAGGAAAACUACUGGGGUAGGGCAGAACAUGAGUUCUGAAAUAAGAAGAUCUGAACUUGAAAUGCUUCUUUACUGUGCAAUGUAGACAAUAUAAUCUGCUGAGCUCAAUUAGCUCAUGUAUAACCUGGAGUGAAGAUGCCUGUCUUGUACGGUUAUUGUAAGGAUAAAACAGGAUUCGGGGGAGAACCAGCCAGUGUAGGCAUUACCCAUUUUUGUGUUGUUUCAAAUAUAUUUUUUAUAUUUUAGAUACGUGUGUGUGCGUGUGUGUGUGUGUGUAUGUAUGUGUGUGUCUUCAUUGCUACAUUGAACAGUUUGACCCUAAGUAACUCACAAAUAGCAUUCUAGAGGUGCUUCAAAAAUACUAAGGAAGUCUAACCUUCUAGAUGUUAAAAUACAACUUUUAUACUGGUUCUACUUGCCUUCAAUGGAAAUUAUUGAAGAAAAAAUCAGCUGGGAAUGAGAAAAUAAUAAAACUGCUUUGAAAUGAUGAAGUAAAGAAAGUAGCUUGGAAAAAACAUGCCUGAAGGCAGGUCACAACUUGAAAUACAGUUACUAUGUUCCAUAAUGGGCAGAGUAAUAGAGUGUGUCUAAAGUACAACCAAAGUAGUCUAGUACACCACAAUAUCACAAUAUCCAGUAGUCCCCCCCACCUCUCUCUUUAAGCUCCCUCUGUCCUUUCUCUCUCUUUUCUGUCUUCUCUCUCUCUCUCUCCUCUCUCUCUGUACACUCUCUUUCUUCUCUCUGACUCCUCCCUCUCCUCUCUGACUCCUCUCUCUCCUUUCUCCUCCACCCUAUUCACAGGUUGGAUAACGUUUCUGAUUUAUUUGACAAAGGAUAUAGCUAUUCAGCUAGAAUGCAUGAGCCACUGAGAGCAAGUACGAAGCCAGUACACCUUGGCGGAGCUUCGUGAGGCCCAUCAGAUUCUCAGGUUGGAAUGCCAGGAAGUGUUGUUAGUGUUAGGAAGAUUCCAUGUGUAAGGCAGGAGCUCACUAGAUCUGAAGAGCUUAACAUAUGGCUGUACCAUAACUCUUUUUCAAUAGGGCUUACAAUGUUCUUUAGGGCAGCAUGUAGAUUUAAUAUUUCUAUUAAAGGGAAUGCUUGCAGACAUUAGGAGCCUCCAGGUUUUUAAGUCAACACAGCAUCAGGACCAUAUUGUUAUCCUGUGAAGAGCAAGGUGGCUGAUUUCUCUUCUUAUAUCCAGAUACAUUCUGGAUAAUCCAUUCCCCACAGUUACAGUCUGACUCUGGAUUUUGGAAUAUCUUUUUAUGAAAUGGAUAGGUCUGAUAAUGAAUUGGGUAAUUGGGUCUUAGGACUAGAAUCUUAAAUCCAUUCUCAAUUUUUAUGAAGUCACCAACCUUUUACACACAUGCUUUAAAAAAACCUGUCUACGAACAGAAACUCACUCCUGUGCUUAUCACCUGAUAGAAGAACAAAACUGAAUAUAAAACUCACAUAAUUUGUAUUGCUCAGUGUAUAACGCAUUAAAAACAAAUUUAUUUUUCUUUGAGGAAACUUUGUACUGCAUUCCCCUUUUUAAGAUCAUCAACUCGUUCCCCCUUUAAAUGCCUAAAUCAACACUAAUUAGAUUCGAGCAGCCAUUUCUUCAUGCUGGCCUUUUAUUUUUGUCCUCUUAUUUUUUCCCUUAACUCACCUAAAUCUUCCUCUCCUUUUUUAUCUUUUCUCCCUUCCUCCCUCCUUAUUGCACAUAAUUCAAAUAUCAAAAAUAUAAAGUUAUUUAAUGAAACAUUGCUUCCCCACUAGCUCUCUACUUUCUCAGUAUAUAUCUUGCCUCCUUCAUUACUCGGGUAAUCACUAUCACUUGUUUCUUUUUUCACUUAUAAAGAAUUUUUAUAUAAAUGCAAACCAAUAAAACAGGAAAUUUCAUUUCGUCUUUUAAAACUACAAGUAAUAACAUAUUAUACACGUUUUAUUCAACAACAGAUUGUAUUCAACCUUCUGCUGUUAAGAAGAGUUGCAAUAAAUAACCUCAUACAUGCAUCACUUCACACAUAUUAAUUAUAUCUCAAGAUAAUUCCUAGGUGUCACUUUGAUAAAUAUUACCAAAAUGCUCACCAAAGAUGCUGUACCAAUUUAUACUCUCAUCAGCCAUAGAUUAAAAUCUAUCCCAAAAUUCUUCCAGUUGAAUAUGUCAUGAACUUUUGGAUUUUUACCAAUCUGAAUGGGAAGAGGGAAACAUGUUUUUUCAGUGUUGUUUAAAUCUGUAUUUCUGUGUUGUGAAUAAGGUUAAAUAUCUUUUAAAAUAUUUUUAAAAAACUAUAUUUGCAUUCCUGUGAACUGUCUUUGCAUAUUCUUUGCCCACUUUUUUCUUUUGGGCUGUUGAUGAUUUUCUUAUCAAGUGGUAGGUCUUUAUAUGCCAGGAAGAUUAAGCUUUUGUGACAAAAAUUGGGAAUAUAUUUUUAAAUUUAGUUUGCCAUUUGCCUUUUUGACUACAUUGAUAAUGUUUAUUUUAUGUGUUGCCAUGCAAAAAUUUAAUUUUUAUGUAGUCAAAUGUAUUCAUUUUUUUCUCCCUACAGCCUCUGAAUAUUAUAUCAUAAUGAGAAAGUUUUUGUUUCUAAACUGAGGCUAUAAAUUAAUUCUUUCAUGUUUUCUUCUAUGAUUUUGUAUUCCAUAAUAAAUAUUUAACUUAUUUAAAUAUUUCUUCUAGGCCAGGUGCGGUGGCUCACACCUGUAAUCCCAGCACUUUGGGAGGCUGAGGCAGGUGGAUCACCUGAGGGCAGGAGUUUGAGACCAGCCUGACCAACAUGGUGAAACCCCGUCUCUACCAAAUACAAAAAGUCAGCCUGGUGUGGUGGCACAUGCCUGUAAUCCCAGCUACUUGGGAGGCUGAGGCAGGAGAAUCGCUUGAACCUGGUUGGGGAAGUUGUAGUGAGUCAAGAUUGUGCCAUUGCACUCCAGCCUGGGCAACAAGAGCUAAAAUCCGUCUCAAAAAAAAAUAAAAAUAAAUAAAUAAACAAAUGUUUCUUCUAGUAUAUAGUCCAUAUUCUGAGAUAGGCACCCAAUUUUAUUUUUUCUCAUUGGCUAUCUAGUUAUACCUACAUCUUGGUAUUAUUAAAAAGUCUAUCUUUUGGAGACUUCCGCUCCUGGGAAGAUGGAAUAGAGGUACAUUUCCCCCUUUCUCUCCCUAAGGAAAACUAAAAUUCUUGGACAUCAUUUGUAAAAUAAACAUGAGAAGACUCUGACAAGCAGAGACAAAGAUAUAAUAAUAAUGUCAUUGGAGCCCUGGAGUGAAGGAUAAAGAAGGCAUUGCUAAAUAAUUAAUUUAAGAAAUAAUGGCUGACAAUUUCUCAAAUUUGUCCAAAGCCAUAAACCUACAGAAUCAGGAAGCUGUGUGUAUUCCAAUUAGGGUAAAUCCCAAAAAACCACACCAAGACACAUGAUUAUCAAGCUUGUAAAAACUAAAAACGGGAAAAAAUCUUGAAAAGACCACAGUUACAUUAUCCCAUUGAGGGGAGACUUCUUAUCAGAAACCAUGAAGGCCAAAGGGGUGAUAUUUUGUUUCUCUCAGAAUUCUAUAACCAGCAAGCAUGUAAUUUGGGCUUUUAGAUAUAUUUAAGAUAUAUUUUAUCACAUUAAGAUGAGUCUACCUAAUACUGUAUUUUAAAAGAUUAUAUUCCAAGAGUGGAUUUUUAAUUGUCAAUCUUUGUGGAACACUUAGUUUAAUGUUGUGGUUCUCAAAGUUUUGGCUUCAGAACAACUUGUUUAUAACCUUAAAAAUUAUUGAGAACCCCAAAGGCUUUUGUUUAUUUAGUCUGUAUCUACCAAUAUCUUCUAUAUUAAAAAUUAGAACUGAGAUACUUAAAAAAUAUGUAUUAAUUUAUUUCGGAAUAAAGAUAAUAAACUCAUUACAUAUUAACAUAAAUUCAUAUAUUUAAAAGUACACUUUUCAAAGCAGAAAUGUCUCAUGAGAAGAUUGGCAUUGCUCUACAUUUGCUAAUCAUUUCAAUGUCUGACUUAAUAGAACACAGCUGGAGUCUCAUGUAUGUUUCUGCAUGCAAUCUGUUUUAGUAUAUUAUUUUGGUUGAAGUUUAUGUAGAAAAUCUGGUUUCACGCAGAUAUAUAGCUACAAAGUACAGAGUAUUUGAAUAGAUUUUUCAGAUAAUUGUAAAUAUCCUUCUUUGACAUGUCACUGAAACUCAACAUUAAAUAUUAAUAUUUAAAUAUUUUUAAGUAUUAACAUAUAUAUGGAAUAUUAAACCAUAUCAAUGAAAUUUUGGUAUUAUGUUACAUUAAAGUCCAUUGUCCAUUUUGUACUUCAAAUAGAUCUUUCCUCUCUUUGUGCUUUUGUGAAAUCACACUUUGGUCAUUUGAAAAAUACAGGUUCACUGACUUACACAGAGUUUCUAAAUAUUGACAUAUUUUAUUAAAUAACAUAAAGGAGGCUUUACUGACAUCAUCAAUGAUCUCA
rnacentral:lncRNA from 1 species